rnacentral:lncRNA from 1 species
CGUAGUUCGACAAAUGACAAAUCUCCAAACGACACAGCACACACAUCAUCCGGCACAGGUUCCUGCAUCCAGGUAUUGUUAAGAGAUCGACUAUGCUGGCAGCUAGUCACCCUACAUGGCUACGUCCACCUGCUGAAAAAAGAACCUGAUCAGCAUCUCACCUCCGGGCCGAGCUGUUGUUGCUGUGCUCAUACUACUAUUUGGUGAUGGCGUAGAUCGCGUAGAUGAUCCCAGGGAGGUAGCCGAGGAAGGUGAGCAAGAGGCAGAUCCAGAACUCGAACUGCAGCAGGCGACCGGAUUCAAUAAUCAGCUCAUGCAGCAGUCAGAUCGGAUGGAUGCAGAGAGUGUAUUCAGAGUGACGACUAGCAUCAAUCAGGCCAGGAGAUUGUAGGCACUGUAUUACCUUGCAGCCGAACUUGAGGAAGACGCCGAGCGGGGGAAGGAUGAUGGCGAUGAGGAUGUCGAUGCAGUUCGCCGUGCCCUCCGACAUGGUGCUCCGAUCCGUACGGCGGCAAGCAGGUGUCAGUGGCUCCGACGACGAUCCUCUUUCUUCCCUAAGAGGAUCCUCUUUUUUCUUCCCUACGCUGGUUGGUUUGUGUGUAAGCAGAGCACUGAAACCGCUAUAUAAGCACAGCAGCCGCGCGCGACCCAAGCCACAAGGUGCAUAAGUGCAUUGGUCUGUGUGUGGUGGACUGCUGGUUAACCGGUUCGAUGGAGACACGGAGUGAUGGCUUCUUGGUAGGUCUUGGUGUGGGGAUUUUGUUUGAAUUCAGUGAGGAUUGGUAUGCCCGUUAUGUGUUCCAUCCAUUGUUCUCUAUAGAUUGAUCACUGAUGGCAGCAACUGUGGCGGCAGAAAGUGGGGAAUGGAGACUGGGAGCGCAAGGCCGCUUCGUCAGAUUGCAGCUUCAGCUACGGCCUACAGAACCAAGAGCUAGCGACAUCACACCUAGAAAUCACGAGGAGUUGGGAGACUCCUUUACUUGUCAACCUCAGAUCGUGGAUUUCGAGGCCUUGUAAAUGCCAGUAUACUCCUAUGUAAUUUUCUUUUCUUCUCGUUUGAGGUGUUUAGCUCAUCUACCGUAAAAAGAAAAAGGUUGAGAGAGAGUCCUGGCCUAUCACGUCGCUGCCCCACGCUAGAUGAAGGGAGCCUGCCUUAUCCCGUCCAUUCCCCGAACGAGCACGGAAGCUACUUCCGUUCUAGGCUGUACGACUACGACUGGCGCCAGCCGCCAGCGACUACAGUCUGGCCUGGCAUUAUUGCUGUCGAAAUACUCCGAUCCUGGCGACCGCGAGCAAUUGAGCAGCUGGGGGCCUUAUGCUGUACUCCUUCCUUUUAUAUUUACAAGUGUAUUAAUAUUCAAACUUUACCAUCUUUAAUCAAUAAUUUAAUCAAUAUUUUUAUUUUUAUAAUAUAAAUUUGAUACAGUUAGAUUUAUAAUUAAAUGUACUCUCCAAGGAUGGUACUCUUCAAUGAUUAUAUGAAGAUUAUAAGUUUAUAACUAUAAAUAAUAUAAUGUAAGAUAAAUACACAAUCAAAGUGUAAUUUAGGAGAUCGUGUUAAGUCAUAUCAUGCCUUAUAGAAAUAAACGGAGGGAGUAGUUGAAACAGUUGUUUUGCGUCGAGUUUCUUAUUGUACACGGAGAAGGCUUAGGGUCCGUCUGGCACGGCUCUUACUAGUGAAAAAUCAGCUAUGGUUUUGACUCAUCUGAAAAGCAGCUUUUUCUAGCUCUAUCUAAUCCGGUAGGAAAACGUUUAGCAGAACGGCUUCUCCUAACUUUUUAAAAUGUGUAGAAGAUGUCAAUUGUCCAUUGUGCCCUUACAUUAUAUGAGUUUUUAUCUAUUCCUAUGUUGAUAAUUUGAUUUUGUGAAAUAAAAAGAUAAUAAUAAUUAGGUUUGUAAUGACCUUAUCUUUUUUCUCUCUUUUCCUUCUAUUUCUUUAUUCCUUCUUGUUUACCCUACUAUUCUUUUUUCUCACCUAUAUUUCUUUUUUCCUCCCUUAUCCGGUCCUUCUCCUAAUCACAUCCUUUUCUCGGCCUUAUCAACGCAGCACUGCAGCACCACUCCAUUCCUCAGGCGGCCAGGCCACUCCUCUCUGACUCUUCAGCGCCGCUCUUCUGCAGCCCCGCCUCCGCGGCUCGUCGCAACAGCCCUGCCCCGCUCCGCGCCCGUCCUGCCACCGCUCGUCGCGACAGCCCAGCCCCGCCGCCCCUGGCCGCUAUGCUCCAGCCUCGCUGCGUGCGGCUUGCGCCUCCGCCGGCGCGCGCGGUCCGCCAGGCCGACGGGCCACCGCUUCUCUUUCCUUCCCCGCGUCGUCGACGAGUGCCGUGUGGAUGGGGGUAAUUUUGCCGAGGACAGCUGAAGGUGGAGAUGAAGCCGGUAUGAGCCUUCCACCGGCUCGUGAAAAGCAGAGACCAUAAAACGCGGGGCUUCUACCAGCUUUUCCCUAUGAGCCGUUUCGACUUUUUGCGUUUGGCAGGAGAAGCCGAUAAGCCGGAGCUGAAGUCGGUUCACAAGCCCUGCCAAAAGGGGGCUUCGUGGGGGUCACGGUGCAUGUUUCUCGCUGCUCGGUUCAGCCCAGAUAAGGAUCGCCGGUGGCCGACGGUGAAAUAGAGGCGGAAACGGCAGCUCGUCGAAGCUCUGAUUGAGAUUUGAGACAGGGAGAACAAGUUUUUUCUUUUGAUAAGGAGAGGGAGAACAAGUUUGGAGGUGGUAGAGUGAGCGCCUAGGGUGCUUACCUUAACGCUGGUUUGGUCAUGGGAGGAGGAGAUCGAGGGUGGCGACUGAGAUCGUGGCUUGGUGGAGUGGAGACACGACGACUACGGUUUAUAGGCACCGAAUGACUCAGAUGUGUAGUUUGGCAUGAGAUAAAUAGGUUAAUAUAAUAGUUACAUGAGUUCAACUAGACUUAUUCAAAUUUUCGUUUUUAAAAGAACGAGAUCCAGUCUAGUGUAUGAACAAUAGGUAGGAUUUUUAUCAACGUGGAAAAAUUAAAAAAUGGACACCUAAUCCGAGUGGAAGAAGGCCGUUGGGCGUCGGUGUCAUGAGCGUCCCUCUCAACGGUACCUGGCCUGAUGGGAUGCUUCAUGCUUCGAGUCAAGCCAGGCUGACGCUGGCUACACUUUCAAGGUAACAAGCAACCCCAGGCAAUUACCCAAUACCCAUAGUACAUGACAGCGCCACGUGGAGAACCACCCAAAAUCACCAAGCAAUGUAAAUUAUCUACUUAACGCCGUUUGAAACAAAUUUACAGCCCACUGAAUAGUGAAUACAUACAAAGAAAAAACACAAAUUGGCAGGAAUUUUUCACCAGGCAAUGUAAAUUAUUUAUUACCGUUCCAGACAAAUUUGCACAGUCCACUGCUUACAUACAAAAAAGCACCAAUUGGCAGGAAUUUUUCACGCGACAAUCUAUAUCGUCAUAAGAUCCACAAAUAAUCAGACCGAUCCAUGGACACGAAGCAAGAAACUAAAGCUCAAUUAGUAGUAGCUUAUUGACAGCUGACAAUCAAUCUCCAAAUCAAAAGGCUUCCGGUAAUCAAGAAUUUUACAUCCUGCGCGGUUCCUGCGUCCAGAAAUUAACAGCAGAGCAAGAGAUCAGUAUGCUGUUAGCGGCUAUUUCCUUUCCCUUACUCCGCUUGUUUAAGCGCUCAAUCGAUUGUUACAGAUGAGAAUUUGACAGGAUGUUGUUCAGUUCUCACCUUCUCCUGAAUGGUUGCUCUAUUUCCAUGCUAUUCCUUGGUGAUGGCGUAGAUCGCGUAGAUGAUCCCCGGAAGAUAGCCGAGGAAGGUGAGCAAGAGGCAGAGCCAGAACUCGACCUGGAGGGCACCGGACAACAAAAAUUUGAUCAGGUAUUCAGGUGAGACUGAGAGAGCACAAACCGCCCGUCAGUCAGAUCGUUUGAUUGAGGCGCUGAAUGGAGAGU